rnacentral:lncRNA from 1 species
CCAACAACAGAUAAAAACAAAAGGGAUAAAAUAACAGAAGUCCUAAUCACUUACUCAAGUUUUUUCAAAGUAUAACUUCUGCCCCAGGGGGUCUCUGGUAAGAAAGAUGGUGACUCACUUAGACCUAGAUUCUGGCAAGUAAGUACAAAUACACCCCUCAGUAUCAUUGGAUAUAUACCCCGUGGAUUACCAGUCCUGGCCUAGAGGUGGAGUUAAGGCGUAUCUAUAGAGACAAUACGUGACCACCUCCUUGUGUUCCAGACCAACAUCAAUCCAAAUGGAAACAUUUGGUUCUAUCUCCUCUUGUGUACUUGCCACAGAAAUAAUAAUUGCAUCUAGGAAUGUGUUAUAAUUUCUCCAUUCCAUACAUCUGUAACACGUUUUACAUGUGACCCAAUAUAGCGGACAUCUGAUCCCUUCCCAUAAUGUGAAGUUAAACCAAAUAUGGUUAAGUCUAACCAAACCUUAGAUCUAGGGUCGGCAACCUUCAGCACUCCAGGUGUUGUUGACCAUAUCUCCCUUGAUACUUUGUCAACAUUAUGGCUGUAAGAGCAUUAUAGGAGAAAUGGUCUCAUCUGGAGUGCCGAAUGUUGCCUACCUCUGCGGCACAGAGAAUGGAUAAAAAGAUUGUUUCUCUUCUCGAUACUCGUAUAAAAUAGAGACAUAUGCUUCUUUUUAAGCUAACAUAUCUACAAUUAGAUCUUAUCAGUAUUCCCUCUCCGCAAGAUUUCAAAUUAGCAAGAAUUCUAGCAUUUAAUAUCUGAUUGUAGACCAAGAUUGCUUCAGACUGAGCUCUAAUUAGAUUUGUUUGUAAAUUCCAUGUGACACUUCAUCAUCUGACAGCACAAUGAUCAAAUAAUAUAAAAGAUGUGACUCAGACAAGUUGACUGUAUUUUGUGGUUGUGUCUUAUCUGUCUGUUUGUUUUACAUUCCGUCACUUCGACAGGUAUUUUCUCAAUUUAUUUAAGCCUGCUACAAAACCCACCUUCCCAGAAAGUUAAUGACAGCUAUGCAUUUUGACGUAAUUUGAAAGGAGUGACUCCUAAUUGUGUUCAAAUAAUCAGAGGUGACAUUUGAAUGAAGAUGGUGAGAUUGUCAGCUGAGAAGUAUCUGUACUGGUGAUAGCUGUUCCUUUUUAUAGUACAGAAAAGAUCACCUCUGUUAUGGGGAGGGCCCAUAUUGCAAGAAAGACACUAAAGGUUAUUUUGUAUCUGUUAUUAAGAGCACGAACAGGAUAUCUGCAGCUAUGAUUGUGUCAGCUGAACUGUUUGUGAUAACCUUGGAGAUUGGGUUUGACAUCUUAUCCUUGGUUUGAUUACUGGGCGGGUUUAAAUUAACAAGCGGUUUUGUUUUGAAUUGCACCAAUGGUAAAGUAAGCAGAAUUUGGCACGUUUUAAAGAGUAAGAUCUGUAAGAUACAAUUUUAAGAACAGUUCCCACCUAUACAACCACUUCGUAGCUGUCAGUUCAGCAUCCGGAUUUAAAUGGAAAAUCUGAAUUGAAUAGAUUUAGGAGUGGCCUUUCCUCAUACAGUCAGUGCUAUUCAGCUGUUCUACCUGUUUUCAGCUUAUCUGAGCAUUGCUCGAUGUCUCCACUAGAACCACACACCCAAAUGUUGUCAAUUAUUCACUAUAGCUAUACAACUUGACCUGUCAUAGGGGCUAAUUAUUUAUACUUGCUACAUGGGUAUGGACCUCUGAAAAGCUUUUCCAAGCAUGCACAUAUUGAUUUACACAGGAAAAGAAGACCCUAUAUAUACUUAAACAGUCAAUCUAAGUAUCAUAAGCACCAUAGCGCUUAAAAUAACAUGCCAGACACCAUGACCACUGCUUAGUGUUCUUUCACCCCCGAAAAGUAACUAUUUAGUAACGGGUUGAAUACUAACCUGGGUGCCACUUUCCGCAUCUUCUGGAAGCUGUUCCUCUGAGCCAAGUCAGGCAGUGCAAGGUUUAGCUCACUGAAAAGUGAGCUCUUCCAAGCUAUACAUGUUAAGAUCCUUUAGCCUUUCCUUGUAAGUUUCAUCCUGUAAGUCCUCUUAAAGGAAC